rfam:Rattus norvegicus chromosome 15, whole genome shotgun sequence.
GGAGAUUUAGCUCAGCGGUAGAGCGCUUGCCUAGCAAACGCAAGGCCCUGGGUUCAGUCCCCAGCUCCG